rnacentral:rRNA from 1 species
CCCUUAGAUGUUCUGGGCCGCACGCGCGCUACACUGAUACAUGCAACGAGUUUAUAACCUUGAUCUGACGGUCUGGGUAAUCUUCAAACUGUAUCGUGUUAGGGAUCGAUUCUUGCAAUUUUUAAUCGUAAACGAGGAAUUCCUAGUAAACGCAAGUCAUCAGCUUGCAUUGAUUACGUCCCUGCCCUUUGUACACACCGCCCGUCGACUCUACCGAUUGAAUGGUUCGGUGAAAACUUUGGACUGUGGCAUUGUCCUUCAUUGGACUUCGCCGUAGGAAAUUGUUUAAACCUCNUNAUUUAUNGGAAGAAUAANUCGUANCA